UUAAACUUAAAAAACUUAAACUAUUUUUACUAAAAACUAAAUAUACUCCUUAAUAGUUCAGUUUAAAAACAAUGAACUUAUUUUAUUUUGAGUACAAUUAACUGUAGUUAACUGUGUUUCAGUUUUCCCAAUUUCUUUCUCGAUCAAAAUUUCUAAUCACAAUUAGGUUUCCUUGUUUCCUUUCUCCAUCACCAUUUUCUCUGAACCUCUACGUUAGGUUUCAUUCGUGUCGCUCGCUGCCAUUGAAGGCUUCCGCCAUUGACGGUUCUCGUUGAAGGUUCGCUGCCGUUGAAGACUCGCUGUCGUCGAAGACUCGCCGUUGUCAAAGACUCGCCGUUGUCGAAGACUAGCCAUUGUCGAAGGUUCGCCGCUGUUAAAGGCUUUGCCGCACUCUACCGUCAUCGAACUGUUGAAGGCUCUACCACCAUUGUCGAAGGUUUUGAGAACACUUCUCGCUGGAAAGAGAAGCAAAUCUACAACCCAUAGAGAUAACCUCUCAAGAUGAAGUGGGACCUUCAAGUGCUGCUAUUAAUUUGGAUGAUUGAAGUUUUGCCACAAUUUGUUAGUUAUCUAAAGUUGAUUGGAGCUAUUUCAUCAAUAUUCUUGUUGAUCAGAAGUCUUGCUACAGUUUCUUUUUAUGACUCCACUCCUUUAGGACGAAUACUACUAGGGAUCUCAAGCUUGUGGACCUUGAUGUUGCAUUCAGUUGUUUGUUUGUUGUUGCAGCUACUUCAAAUUGUUAUGCUAAUCUUGCAGUUUUAGCAAUUGUUACUUGGCAAGUCUUGUUUGUCUCAAUCCCAAUGAUUUAUUUUGCAACCAGCUUGCAGGUGAUGAACAAAUUCUUCUUUGGAUUACAUUACAUUGAUAAUUUGGUGUCAUUUUUUAAAUUAAUUUGAGA